rnacentral:rRNA from 1 species
CCUACGGGAGGCUGCAGUGGGGAAUAUUGGACAAUGGGGGGAACCCUGAUCCAGCCAUGCCGCGUGUGUGAAGAAGGCCCUCGGGUUGUAAAGCACUUUCAGUGAGGAAGAACGCCUGGUGGUUAAUACCCAUCAGGAAAGACAUCACUCACAGAAGAAGCACCGGCUAACUCCGUGCCAGCAGCCGCGGUAAUACGGAGGGUGCGAGCGUUAAUCGGAAUUACUGGGCGUAAAGCGCGCGUAGGUGGCUUGAUAAGCCGGUUGUGAAAGCCCCGGGCUCAACCUGGGAACGGCAUCCGGAACUGUCAAGCUAUAGUGCAGGAGAGGAAGGUAGAAUUCCCGGUGUAGCGGUGAAAUGCGUAGAGAUCGGGAGGAAUACCAGUGGCGAAGGCGGCCUUCUGGACUGACACUGACACUGAGGUGCGAAAGCGUGGGUAGCAAACAGGAUUAGAUACCCUAGUAGUC